rnacentral:rRNA from 1 species
GGUGAGUAACACGUGGGUGAUCUGCCCUGCACUUCGGGAUAAGCUUGGGAAACUGGGUCUAAUACCGGAUAGGACCAUCGUUUAGUGUCGGUGGUGGAAAGUUUUUUCGGUGUGGGAUGAGCUCGCGGCCUAUCAGCUUGUUGGUGGGGUAAUGGCCUACCAAGGCGUCGACGGGUAGCCGGCCUGAGAGGGUGUACGGCCACAUUGGGACUGAGAUACGGCCCAG